rnacentral:rRNA from 1 species
AAUGCACGCAGGUGCGAUGGGGGGACUCCGAGUGCAGUCUUCCAAAACGGAAGGCCGCUUUUCUGCACUUUAAGCAGGUGCCGAAACAAGGGGUGGGCAAGACGGCUGCCAGCCGCCGCGGUAAUAGCCGCACCCCGAGUGGUAGUCAUUGUUAUUGGGCUUAAAGUGUUCGUAGCCGGACGCACAAGUCUGCUGUGAAAUCCAUGCGCUUAACGUAUGGACAUGCAGCGGAUACUGUGUGUCUAGGAACCGGACGGCGUCGAGGCUAUUCCCGGGGUAGGGGUGAAAUCCUAAAAUCCUGGGAGGAGCACCUGUGGCGAAAGCGCUCGACGAGUACGGAUUCGACGGUGAGGAACGAAAGCCAGUGGAGCAAAGCGGAUUAGAUACCCGCGUAGUACUGGCUGUAAACAUUGUGCGUUUGAUGUCGGACAACCUCCGAGGUUGUCCGGUGCCGAAGUGAAAACGUUAAACGCACCGCCUGGGGAGUACGGUCGCAAGGCUGAAACUUAAAGGAAUUGGCGGGGGGAGCACGGUCAU